GGGCCCGCACAAGCGGUGGAGCAUGUGGUUUAAUUCGAUGCAACGCGAAGAACCUUACCAAGGCUUGACAUACUACAGAUUUCUUUGAAAAAGGAAAGUGCCUUCGGGAAUGUAGAUACAGGUGGUGCAUGGCUGUCGUCAGCUCGUGUCGUGAGAUGUUGGUUAAGUCCCGCAACGAGCGCAACCCUUAUUUUAGUUGCUAAUUUAGUUUAGGUUUCUAGAAAGACUGCCGGUGACAAACCGGAGGAAGGUGAGGAUGACGUCAAGUCAGCAUGCCCCCUUAUGCCUUGGGCUACACACGUGCUACAAUGGUUAAGACAAAGAGUUGCGAGCUCGUGAGAGUCAG
rnacentral:rRNA from 1 species